rnacentral:rRNA from 1 species
GUGGGGAAUUUUGGACAAUGGGCGAAAGCCUGAUCCAGCCAUGCCGCGUGCAGGAUGAAGGCCUUCGGGUUGUAAACUGCUUUUGUACGGAACGAAAAGACUCCUUCUAAUAAAGGGGGUCCAUGACGGUACCGUAAGAAUAAGCACCGGCUAACUACGUGCCAGCAGCCGCGGUAAUACGUAGGGUGCAAGCGUUAAUCGGAAUUACUGGGCGUAAAGCGUGCGCAGGCGGUUAGAUAAGACAGAUGUGAAAUCCCCGGGCUCAACCUGGGAACUGCAUUUGUGACUGUAUAGCUAGAGUACGGUAGAGGGGGAUGGAAUUCCGCGUGUAGCAGUGAAAUGCGUGGAUAUGCGGAGGAACACCGAUGGCGAAGGCAAUCCCCUGGACCUGUACUGACGCUCAUGCACGAAAGCGUGGGGAGCAAACAGGAUUAGAAACCCUAGUAGUCC